rnacentral:rRNA from 1 species
UACGGGGGGGGGCAAGCGUUGUUCGGAAUUACUGGGCGUAAAGGGCCAGUAGGCGGCCAACUAAGUCAGACGUGAAAUCCCUCGGCUUAACCGGGGAACUGCAUCUGAUACUGGAUGGCUUGAGAUUGGGAGAGGGAUGCGGAAUUCCAGGUGUAGCGGUAGAAAUGCUUAGAUAUCGAUCAACGAACACCGAUAGUGAAGACAGCUUACGUAGGUCUAGAUUGACGCUGAGGCACGAAAGUGUGGGGAUCAAACAGG